rnacentral:tRNA from 1 species
AGAAUAAAAUAAUUGUUUUAAAUUAAUUAUAUUGUUAAAAUAUAAGUCAAGUUCCAACUAUUUUUUUAUUUAAAAAAUGAUAAUUUAAAUAUAUAAAUAUUAAAAAAUUCUAAAAAUUUAAAAGUUUAUUAAUUUGUGAUAAUUAAAUUAUAAUUUUUAAAUAAAAAAAACUAUUCAUUACUAAAUUUAAAAUUAAUAUUGAAAAAUAUAUUUUAUUCAU